GAUGAACGCUGACAGAAUGCUUAACACAUGCAAGUCAACUUGAACUUCGGUUUGGGUGGCGGACGGGUGAGUAACGCGUAAAGAACUUGCCUCACAGAUAGGGACAACAUUUGGAAACGAAUGCUAAUACCUGAUAUUAUGAUUUUAGGGCAUCCUAGAAUUAUGAAAGCUAUAUGCGCUGUGAGAGAGCUUUGCGUCCCAUUAGCUAGUUGGAGAGGUAACGGCUCACCAAGGCGAUGAUGGGUAGCCGGCCUGAGAGGGUGAUCGGCCACAAGGGGACUGAGACACGGCCCUUACUCCUACGGGAGGCAGCAGUGGGGAAUAUUGGACAAUGGACCAAGAGUCUGAUCCAGCAAUUCUGUGUGCACGAUGAAGUUUUUCGGAAUGUAAAGUGCUUUCAGUUGGGAAGAAAAAAAUGACGGUACCAGCAGAAGAAGUGACGGCUAAAUACGUGCCAGCAGCCGCGGUAAUACGUAUGUCACAAGCGUUAUCCGGAUUUAUUGGGCGUAAAGCGCGUCUAGGUGGUUAUAUAAGUCUGAUGUGAAAAUGCAGGGCUCAACUCUGUAUUGCGUUGGAAACUGUGUAACUAGAGUACUGGAGAGGUAAGCGGAACUACAAGUGUAGAGGUGAAAUUCGUAGAUAUUUGUAGGAAUGCCGAUGGGGAAGCCAGCUUACUGGACAGAUACUGACGCUGAAGCGCGAAAGCGUGGGUAGCAAACAGG
rnacentral:rRNA from 1 species